rnacentral:rRNA from 1 species
GACGAACGCUGGCGGCGUGCUUAACACAUGCAAGUCGAACGAAGAGCGAUGGAAGCUUGCUUCUAUCAAUCUUAGUGGCGAACGGGUGAGUAACGCGUAAUCAACCUGCCUUUCAGAGGGGGAAAACAGUUGGAAACGACCGCUAAUACCGCAUACGAUCUAAUCUCGGCAUCGAGGAUAGAUGAAAGGUGGCCUCUACAUGUAAGCUAUCACCGAAGGAGGGGAUUGCGUCUGAUUAGCUAGUUGGAGGGGUAACGGCCCACCAAGGCGAUGAUCAGUAGGCGGUCUGAGAGGAGGAACCGCCACAAUGGGACUGAGACACGGCCCAGACUCCUACGGGAAGCAGCAGUGGGGAAUCUUCCGCAAUGGACGGAAGUCUGACGGAGCAACGCCGCGUGAGCGAGGACGGCCUUCGGGUUGUAAAGCUCUGUUAAUCGGGACGAAAGGCCUUCUUGCGAAUAGUGAGAAGGAUUGACGGUACCGGAAUAGAAAGCCACGGCUAACUACGUG